UUAUAUAUUCAAACUCAACAAUGCCAAAAACACUAGCACUUACUAAUUCCUAUGCAUAACAUCAUUCAAACUUUGUCAUUUCAUGCCACCAUCUAAAUCAUAUGCAUAUAUUCAUAUAUUUAUAUACAUCCAAACUCAACCAUGCCAAAACACACACAAACUUUACAUUUCAAAAUUUAACUUCCUAAGUACAUGCCACAAAUAACUAAGCUCGAAACAUCAAAAGUCUACCGAAUCGGGGGAUGAAAGGUGUAUGCUUCUCGCUAAUCCAAUCGACACGUUUCGGACGUCCAAAAUCUAUAGAAAAGUAGUAACAUGCGUAAGUAUUUAAAAUACUUAGUAAGCUCGUACGAUAUAAAAAUUUAGCUUACCUUAACCACUUAUGAAAAAUAUGAUUAAAUGUGAACCAAUCUUACCAAUGAUGACAUUCAAAAUAACAUCAAAUACAUAAGGUUUUAAGCCAAAUCCACACACAUAUAUAUGUAGCUUCAAAUGGUAAAUUUCCAAGCUCAACCCAAUAUAUAUCAUGAAUUCAUUUUCUAAUUUAUCACCUUGCUCACCUGAAUCAUUCAAUUUGCAACAUAUACUUUUAUCAUAAACAUCCAUUAUAUAAUACAAAUAUAUAUAUCAAGAUUCCAACAACAUUAACUUAUAAGAUUUGAACUCAAUCACAUAUAUACCUCAAAGGUUCGCAUUUUCAUUUCAAACCAACUGAUACCUUAUAUUCAACUCAUAUGUAUAGCUUAGCCAACAAUUAAUGGCAUACAAUCACCUUUUUAUUCACAAUAUUACUCGAUGAAACUUCAUAGAAAAACUCUGUACACAGGUGAAAGUAAUAGUGCCUGAUCACCCGUUAGGGUUGAACCUACACAAAUCAUUUGCCUACCAGGGAUUAAUAUUACUGUAUUCUUGAGUUCACAAUACAUGCAAGAGCUCAAAACCUAAACCUGUAUUCUCAAGUCUGCAAUACAUGCAUGAGCUUGGAACCUAUUCCUAUAUUCUCAAGUUUGCAACAUAUGUAGGAGCUUGGAACCUAUUCUUGUAUUCUCGAGUCUGCAACAUAUGCAGGAGCUCGGAACCUGGGCAAAACUCAUAACCUCAUUUACAAGACUUUUACUAGUUUCAUCGGGAUUUAAUCUCAAAUCAUUUCAUUUUUGUAACAAUCCAUUUCAAUUAGAUUCUAUUCUCAAUUUGUUUACUAGUCAUAACCACAUUCAAGCUUUCAAUAAACACAAUUACACAUUUAAAUUAUAAUUCAACAACAAAUUAAACUUAUUUAUAUUGUAUGAACUUUCUUGACAAAACGAUACUGCUUUAGCAAAUAGGGACUAUUAGACAAUUUUCCCUUUUUCGCCUAAGUCAAUGACUUGACCUAAAUAAUAUUUAAGAUUUAAAAUAUCAAUAUCAAUAUCAUAAUAAUACUCAAAUUCAUGCUUAUAAUCUUUUAAUUUCAUUUUACAAUUUCCCUAAAUUUUUACAUUUUAUUCAAUUUAGUCUCUAAAACCGAAACAAAUAUAACUUUCACAAUUGAGCUUAGUUUUUCAUUCCAAUUUCAAUUAUGCCCUUCUACAGCCCUCAAAAAUCCAAUUUUAUAGAAAUUUAAUGUCACUUUUGACAUAUUCACAAUUUAGUCCCUAAAUGCAAAAUUAACAAAAUUUACUUUAUCAAAUAAUCCUUGAACAUUACAUAAAUUUCAAAUCUACCAUUUUCUAUAUAUAAAAAAAAGAUUCAUCAAUGGCAAGUUUUAAAAUCUUUAAUAAUUUUAAAAUCAGAGGUACAUGUUAGCUGGACCUAGUUGUAACAAUCUUAAAAACAUGAAAAUUAUAAGAAACAAAUUAAAAUAUGCUUACCAAAUUUGAAGAACAAGCUUGGCCGAAAGCUUGGCUUACUCUUCCACGGAAAAUCGGUGGUGAAGGGGAAAAGGAAAGAUGAUCAUGUCUUUACCCUUUUUGUUUAAU
rnacentral:lncRNA from 1 species